rnacentral:rRNA from 1 species
GAUGAACGCUGGCGGCGUGCCUAAUACAUGCAAGUCGAGCGAACGGACGAGAAGCUUGCUUCUCUGAUGUUAGCGGCGGACGGGUGAGUAACACGUGGAUAACCUACCUAUAAGACUGGGAUAACUUCGGGAAACCGGAGCUAAUACCGGAUGAUAUUUUGAACCGCAUGGUUCAAACGUGAAAGACGGUCUUGCUGUCACUUAUAGCUGGAUCCGCGCUGCAUUAGCUAGUUGGUAAGGUAACUGCUUACCAAGGCAACGAUGCAUAGACGACCUGAGAGGGAGGUUGGACAGACGGUAAGAGAGAAUCAGUCGAGACACCUAGACGAAGCAACAGUAGAGAAUCUUCCGCGAGGGAGGAGUGCGGGAUGGAGCAACGCCGCGGGAGUGAUGAAGGAGUUCUGAUCGGAGAACUCUGUUAUUAGUGAAGAAGAUAUGUGUAAUUAACUGUGCAGAUCAUGACGGUACCUAGUCAGAAAGCCACGGCUAACUACGUG